CCGUGGGUCACCGCUCCCUGCAUGGCCGUUUGUUAUAUUCAUAGCGAGGGAAGGAGGAACACCGGGAAGAGCACACCAGGGGAGCUGCGUGUGAGGCUACAGGGGCUGAGCUGUGACCCUGCAGUGCCAGAGGAGAUCCAUCAUGGAGCCGGUAUGGACAUGAGUUGAAGGAGCCCGUGGCUUCAUCCACUGGUCUCGCUGGGAAAGACUUCGAAGAAGAUUUUGUUCAGUAUUCCUGGACACGAAGAGUGAUGACAUGACAAGUAGACACUGGUUGGUGCCACUGCACACUUACCCACACCCAGAGUGCUUGCACGCUGGCCUGAAGUUUCCUGUAAUGUCAGCAUCACCAUUGUCACCUGGGACCAAUCCUGUUCCAAAAUCAGAGUCCCCCAAGAGGGGAGAGGGUGCCCGCUGCCACUGAAUAUCUCUUCUGUGAAAAGGCUUCAUGCAAGUUCAUUUCUUCAACACACUCAACCUGACUUUGAGGCUGACACUGCAGAGCCAAAAUAACUAGAAUGAAGUCGGACAGAAAAGCUCAGCAGCUCUGAGUUCCUCGACAAGCCACGAUUCUCCGUGAGGAACAGAGGACCUGGGCUAGGCACCCCAACUGAAUCUUUUAUGGCCAUACCCAAGCCUGGACACACAGCGACACAAAAUCUUUCAUUUCCUAUGUAGAAUUCACAUGUGAAACACAAAAUAUGUUUAAUAAGCCUGGGUCCUGGGAGCCAGCAUUGGGUACAGGAGGGGCUUCCCUGUGGGCUAUGGAACUAAAAAAAAAAGGAAGUUGAAAGAGGGACAAGGGUGGUGGUUGUUUUGAGAUGUGGGUGGAGAGAAAGACCCCUGCACAAAGGUAAAAUGAUUUGUCCAAAAGACAACAGUAAGCCAGGGAAUUUCAAAUCACCUAGACGCUCCAGGGCAACUGACACAGCAAUACCCAGUGCAGGGGGUUAAAUAGUGCUCCCCAAAAGUCAUGUUCGCCUGGGACCAAAGAAGCAUGGAACCGUAUUUGAAAACAGGGUCUUUGCAUAGGUAGUUUGUUAAGGAUCCAGAUGAGCUCGUACUGGAUUAGCAUUGGCUCUCAAUCCAGUGACUGGUACCCUUGAAGAAGAGACGACACAGAGAGACACACAUAAGAGAAGGUCAUAUGAAGAUGGAGCAGAGCCUGGCACGGUGCAGCUACAAGCCAAGGGACGCCAAGGAUGGCUGACAGCAAGCAGAGGCUGGAGGAGGCGAGGAAGCAACUUCCCUGGGGCCUUCAGCGGGAGCGUGGCCCUGCUGACACCGUGAUUUUGGACUUCUGGCCUCCUGCAAUAAAAGAAUACAUUCCCAUUGUCUUCAGCCACUAGCUUUGUGGGAAUUUAGAGAGAGAGCUUUUCUCAGAAGCCUCAAGGAAACCUGAGAGUCAGAAGCUGUUCGAACACUGAGCCAGUUCAGACAUUAUAAUGGUUAGAAAGAAGGCUGAAGGAAGAUCAAAACAUUUAAAUAAAGAUGGGCUUGAUUGGAGCAGAGUGGCAUACCCUCUGACAUGUCACUGGAGGAAGCUCUCAGACUCUCAUAGGCUCUAAGCAAAGUUAGACCACCAGAGGGUUUCACUGUGACUUAAUAUGCUAUCUUUCUCAUUAAGAAAAGAAUCCUACCCAGAAAACGAGGAAAGGCCUAACAGGAGUCAUAGCUUGACUACAAUGGCAGGAAGUGGAUAUACUUGAGGGAUUACUGGUAACUCUUUAUUUUGACAAAGUUGAAGCCAUAAAGCUCCUUGACCCCCUAAACAUUUUAGAAUUUCCUGAACAUAGCGCAAUGGCCAAAACUGGAAAAUUUAACAUUAAUACAAUGCUUAUCUAACCCAUUGUCUAUGUUCAAAUUUUGUCAGUUUUCCCCAUAAUAUCAUCUCUAACUAUUUUUUCCCCUCUGGCCAGGACCACGCAUUGCAUCCAGUUGUCAUGUCCCCUGAGACUCCUUUAAUCUCAAACAAUUCCUCAGCCUCGCUUAGCCUUUCAUGACCUUUAUAGUUUUGAAGAAUAGGGGCCAGUAAUUUUGUAGAAUGUCCCUCAAUUCAGGUUCGUCUAAUAUUUCUUCGUUAUGAAGUUUAAGUUAUUCAUUUUGGGCAGAAAAACCACAGAAAUAACAUUCUGUGCUUUUCUGGGUAUCAUAGCAUGAGACACAUGAUGUCGACCGGCCCCAAUAUUACUUGUUAUACUUCAUCGCUUGAUUGAGAGGACAUGCACUAAUGUCCCCUUGUUACGUUACUCUGUUUCUCUGCUUAGACAUGGAGAAGAAAUUUCUCAACGUGAGUAGAAACAUAAACUUCACAUAGCAGCUUUGCAGCCUCUACAGGAAGAUGGCCGAAGGCAUAGGGGAGGAAUUGGAGAGAAACGCUUCCUACUACGGAGAGGAGAUUGCCUUCUGAGGAGAGCUGUGCAGCAGCUGUGACAACUGGUGUGUUUUCUCAUAAGGACGAUGCUGUCGGUGAAAUGAGACGAACUAUAUCAAAUCCUGGGUACACUGGUGUGCUCACUCAGUGCAGCAGAAUCACGGCAUGACACCAGGGUUUGACAUGUUACCCGUAAGCUGGAUGACAGACCUUCAUUCACUACUUAAGUUCAGGGACACCCCUCCUUGAAACAUGCCCCAUUAGCAAGCCUCUACAUUCGGCAGGAUCCCAGUCUCGGCUAUUAGAGCCUGAAGUUUUCUUCGUCAAAUUCCUGCCUCCUGGGGAUGGAGGCAAAUAACCCUGAGACAUGCAGUUUCCACCCUUCCGCUGUUCUUUCCCCUGGAAGGGCAGCCCAUCAGUCCUGCGGAGUCGCCCUUUUUUUUUUUCU